GGGGUUGUGGCUCAGUGGUAGAGCGCUUGCUUAGCAUGUGCAAGACCCUGGGUUCGAUCCUCAGCAUCACAU
rnacentral:tRNA from 1 species